rnacentral:rRNA from 1 species
UACGUAGGGUGCAAGCGUUAAUCGGAAUUACUGGGCUUAAAGGGUGCGUAGGCGGCGCGGAAAGUUGGGUGUGAAAUCCCUCGGCUCAACCGAGGAAUUGCGCUCAAAACUACCGUGCUCGAGGGAGAUAGAGGAGCGCGGAACUUAGGGUGGAGCGGUGAAAUGCGUUGAUAUCCUAGGGAACACCGGUGGCGAAAGCGGCGCUCUGGAUCUCAUCUGACGCUGAUGCACGAAAGCUAGGGUAGCGAACGGG